rnacentral:lncRNA from 1 species
CUGGGGUCACUUUGUGUUCAGAAUCACAUUUUUGGUGAUUGAUAUGGUGUUGGUGCUCUUGGGGGUUUUUUCCUCCAUCAAGAUUUUUGUACUUUGCACCGGCCACCAGUGUGGUCCAGAGAAACUCACAGCCUGUGGUACUGAUUCAUAGCAACCCAGGUCAUGUUAGACUGUGAUGAUGAAACAGCGCUCUCCAUCUUUCCAACAAAACCCUCUGACCACAUCUAAUAAGUAAUGUGGUAUUAUAACUGGGCUAUUAUAAAAGCCAGGGAAUUAAAAACUACAUUUUUUUCCUACAAAUAUUUAUUCAGUAU